UAGUUACUUGCUAACAAAAUUAUUUGUUUCCCGCAUGAAAUAUACACUAGGCUUAACUGAUGUUUCAGGGCAGCACAGUGGAAGGUUGCAUGCCAUCCAAUCAAAUAUAAUACAAGACACCAGAUCAUCCUUAUCGGAUCGAGAUUGGUCGACGCACAAAGGUCAUCAAAGCUAUUCCAGAGCCUUCAAACUUUCUUUUGUUGAAAGCAUUUCAUGUUCUGCAGUCGUGCAGAGAGAAUAACACCGUUCUAUCAGAUGUGGCUGGACUGGUGGUAAUUGUUAAUGGAUGUCAUUUCAAAGACGAAUUGAGAGACACGGAGGCAUAUUCACUUAAAAGAUGUUUGGUAUAGGUAGCAAUGCUUCAGCAGGCCGUUAUGAACCUGCAUGCGUAAUGAUAGUGUACACAUUUUUUAAGCGGUAAACACAAGCAUGCUCCCUCUAGGUAUUGCAAGGUAUUAGUGAUGUUCUACAUAGAGGGCUACAGAGUACGGUUUGGGUUGUUGGGGCAAAUCACUAUCUGAAAAGAUACUUUGUUAUUCCUAACUUUGUACUUACUUGCAAUUUUGCAUCGCCUACAAUGAUAUGCUGUCCUUAUAUCAGGACCUUAAAAGCAAGAAAAAAGAUCAGGUUAUGUCGGCAUAUGAUUCUCUCUUCAGUUUUCCAAUUUAUGAAUUUCUGCAAUUUUGAUGAUUGUUUUUUGCUCAGCUUUUAAAGAGCAUAACGAUUGCAACUACUACUUCUUCAGUAUUAAAUUUACAAGUUUCUAAAUUGUGUUCCGUUGAUACGUUUCUAAAUUGUGUUCCGUUGAUUGGCAAGGAAGUGGACGCGGUGGGUUCUGUGAAGGGGUAGUUCAUGCUGGGUUUCAUGCUGCGGUGGUCCUCCUGUUGGUGAUCUUUUUCCUGAAUUCAUUGGUAUGCAAACUGUAUCUUUCCCCUCAAACUUUUUCCUCCUUCAAAGAAGUCUGGUAUCUGGAGAGAUCACUCAAGCACAUACAUAGUUCGAUUCGUUUGGGUAAAUGCCGAAACUGCCAUAGUGUUCUACUGCAUCUGUGUGCUGUUGUAUAUAGUUGCGGUCAACGAAUAUAUCAGAGACUGUCUAUUUUAUUUCA